AAAAGUCCGCGGCACUUUCAUGUUGAUCGCUUCGUCUUUGAUCUGUGCCGUCGGGCAUGAUGCACCCUCCCUCAGAGUUCACGCCGGACACGAUGCUCCAUCUACAUCCACUGGCUUUUAAUCUCCCUCUGGAGCAAGCGUCACCAGCGACCCUCGUAAUGGACGGCCUCCCACUCAUUUGUGCCUUUUACUGUUGUACAGUUACAUUCGGUGGGAAUUAUGCCGUGUGUGUGUGGGCAGUUUAGGGAGUUUGCUGCAAAUGUUGCUCGGUUGGGAAACCUGUGCAGUGAUCCCAAAUGGCACAAGUUGAAUCAGCAUUUCUCGAGGUUGAAGUGUGAACCCACUGUGGUGGAUGGAUGGAUGGAGGGAGGAUAACGACACUUCAGAAAUACUCUAAAGAAGCAGCAGCAUCCAGUAUGUACUAUGUAGGAUCUCAGUUCGUUUGUGGUGGAUGGAUGGAGGGGGGGAGGUGAAGUGGGAUGGAUGGAGGGGGGAGGUGAAGUGAGAUGGAUUGGGCAGUCUACUGUGUUUGAUUUGUUUAGGUGGAAACAUUCUUGACCACUGACUCAUAGCUGAUGCUGAUUUCUGAUCAUCUGGCAAGGAGGUCUCUAUGGCAAGUCCAAGAUGGCGUCAAAGAAGUAAUCUAUUGUGAUGUCCUUUGUUGCAUGUUGUACUCGGUACUUCAGUACUUAUCUUGCACCACAUUAGUUAAUCUCAUUGAGUUUUGAUCUUUAUGUCAUGUUUUCUUGCGCGGAAGGACUAAUGCAAGACAAUCUUGACAUGAUUUGCACCGGACCAACUGUUUUGAUUUAUCACGUUGAUGUCAUGAGCACAGCUCCAGUCAUGCUACUUUCCUUGUGGACAAAACUUUGCUCAGCUAUUGUUUGUAACCAUUUAAUUUGUUGGGUACUUUUUCAUGCCA